AUACGACCAUAGGGUGUGGAGAACAGGGCUUCCCGUCCGCUCAGCCGUACUUAAGCCACACGCCGGAAGGUUAGUAGUUGGGUGGGUGACCACCAGCGAAUCCCUUCUGUUGUAU
rnacentral:rRNA from 2 species